rnacentral:rRNA from 1 species
UACGUAGGGUGCAAGCGUUGUCCGGAAUUUAUUGGGCGUAAAGAGCUCGUAGGCGGUCUGUCGCGUCUGCUGUGAAAACUCAGGGCUUAACCCUGAGCUUGCAGUGGGUACGGGCAGACUAGAGUGCGGUAGGGGAGACUGGAAUUCCUGGUGUAGCGGUGAAAUGCGCAGAUAUCAGGAGGAACACCGGUGGCGAAGGCGGUUCUCUGGGCAUGAUCUGACGCUGAGGAGCGAAAGUGUGGGGAGCGAACAGG